ACAUUAUUCAUUCCAGAUCUCAAGCUCAGUCUAAUCUCUAAGCAAGUGUUCCAUUAGUUUCUCAGAAACGUGCUGAAGUCUUCAGUUCUUAAGCUCUUUUUCAAUUUAAUUUCUGUAUUAUCUACCUGAAAACACUUUUCCUGUGUUUCAGAUUGAUAUGGAGGAGAGUACCAUAUGUAUUUCUGUAAGGGGUCAGAGCUGACCUCCUUUGCCUGAGUUAAUCAAGAGCCAUUAGGACAUACAGUGCAUUAAAGGCUACUAUUGCCAGAGGAGAGGCUUCCUUCAAACUGUAUUUUCCCCACUUCACUGGAAUUUAUUGUAUGCAGAUGAAGGUGGAAGCUAAGGUUAUGUCACUAUACC
rnacentral:lncRNA from 1 species